CCUUUUCCCUGAAAGCUUUCAGGAAGUUCAGGUCUUUUAAGCACUAGCUGCCUGGACUCCUUGCUGGGCGCCGGCAGUAAACGCUGCACUUUCCCUCAGCACAGUCUGGCGUCAGUGGAUUGGAGUUACUGUGUGCGGGCGAGUGGACCCAAGUUUGGUUUGGUAACAGUUUGACUGAAAGAUAAGCCUGCACCAGGCAUUCUGCUCCAGGUAGACGCCCCUGGACACGAGGACUCCUGGCCACCAGAGGCUUGGACAGCAAGGUUAGUAAUUGCCAAAAAGACUCUUCAUAAUUGCUGAAAGCUGGAAACAGCCCACUGUCCAUUGGCAGGUGGACCAAUAAAUAAAUUGGGGCCACUCUGGACAAUGUCCUUCCAUCCAAGAAGAGGCGCAAACUGCCAAUUCCUGCAACAGCUGAAUCUCAGAACCAUUAAACUGAGCAAAGGGGCCAGACAUAAAGCACUACCUACUGUGUGACCCCAUUUGUGUGAAGUUCCAGGAGCAGCCUAAUUUACAGCGAUUGCUGGAUCAUACAGUCGUGAGACAGCUGAAUCUUCCUGGGAAUUGUCUUCACUGGGCAUCUGAGAAGAUCCCAGGGUCCAGGUUGAGUUAAGCUUCUGUGAUGAGCCCUCUGGAAAUUCAGCCACAGCUUGAAGCUCCUCUUAGAUCUUUGGAUUCUGCAGAAAGUGAUGCUCAAGACUCUCAAAUUGCUACAAACUAGCCUGGAAAGAACUGUAGAGUCCAGAAAGAGUGAAAAAAAAAUCCAAACUUCAACCAACUGUGGUGAGAGAAAGAACUAACCUCUAUAUUUAAUUUUUUGAGGAACUGCCAGACUGUCUUCCGCAGUGGCUGCACCGAUUUACAUUCUCACCAGCAGUCUGCGAGGGUUCCAAUUUCUCCACAUCCUCGCCAGCACUUGUGUUUUUGCUUUUUAUAACAGCCUUCCUAGAGGGUGUGAAGUGGAGUCUCGUUGUGGUUUUGAUUUGCAUGUCCCUAACGACUUACAACUUCCUAAAAGAUGUUGAGCAUCUUUUUACGUGCUUGUUGGCCAUUUGUGUAUCUUCUUCGGAGAAACAUCGAUAGAGGAGUCAUUUCCAGUAGAGAGAGGAUGUCAGCUCAGACUAGAGUAAGAGCAGGAAGGUAAUGUGAAGUGGCAGUUUCUAGUAUUUUUCAAAGAUGGAACGGAUAGGGACUGCUGAUGGACUAGAGUGAACAUGGGAGAAAAGGAGGUGUUCAGGUGUUCUCCAGGGUCCUGCAGGGUUUGGCCUGAGCAAUUAGUGGGCUGGGGAAGGCUUUGAGGAAGCCGACUUGAAGGGAGGGAGAGAAGUUUUGUUGGAGUCUCAGAUCCCUGGAACUUGAGAAUUGAAGUCUUCAGAGGAAUUUAUUGCUUCAAGAAAGUGGGCAGACAGAGAAGAAGAGAGGGCUCCUAUCUUUCCCCACCAAGGUGCUUGUCAGAAUCCUCCAUGAUCAUUGUUUCACUUUAUCAAUUUCUUACCAGCUUGGGUCCUCUCCAAUUUCAUUCCUAGUUUGAGAGGUGGGACUGUUCCGAGACUGAAGAUACAUCUGUAGCCAGUAGGUGGCACUCUGGUGCCAGAAAGAGCCAGAAUCCCGCUGGCUGAGCAGGACCAAGAACCGAAGUUUUCAAAUCACUGAAAUGUGUGAAAGUGCAGUUCUAGAAUCUUAGCAUCAGCCAAUUCAAAAACUCAAGACAGGAAUGCCACACUGAGCUCUGUGAAGGGGAGGUUCCAGUGAGAAACCGGUUUUAAGAGGUGUUUACCUCUGUGGCAUAUGCAUGAGUGAAUGCCUCGCCAGUCAGUGACUGUAUUCGUUGCGCACCUACUAUGUGCUACGAGCUGUGUUAAAUGCGGUGGAUUCAGCCUUGACCAGGACAGACUUAGUACCUGCCUCGAAGAGUUUGGAGGCGGCAGCAUCAACAUCAACAAAGAAAUAAAAGACGAAGACCGUUAUAGAUUGUUAUCAAGGACAUAAACGGGAUGAUGUGAUGAAGAAGAUGGAAGGAGAGGGAAGGAGGAAUCAUAAGGAUUUCUCUGAAAAAGAGUUCUGCUACUAAAUAGAGAGGUUUCGAGGCUGUGACGGUUCCCGCUGGCUCCCGCGGUCUGUGAUGAGCGUCAGCUGCUGUCAUCCUCAAGUUACACUCCGUGACCCGUCCGCCCUCAACUCCCUGCAGCCUCCCCCGCCCAUCUCACCCUGGGCCUUUGCACAUGUUCCCUGCUCUCCUCCACCUCCUCGCUUGGUCGCCUGGCAACCUCGGCUCAUCCUUUAAGCCACAACUCAGGUAACUUCUUCUUCUGCCAGCCUUCCGGAUCUGCCCCAGACCUGCUGAAAGGCCUCCUCAGGGCUGCCACGGAUUACAAACUAUCUCCUUUCACAGUGCUUAUAGUACCAUUGUAAUUGCUUAUACACUUGCUUGUCUAUCAUCAGAGAAGGCCUGAGUUUAAAUUCCAGUUCUGCCCCUUCCCAGCUGUGUGGCCCUGAGUGAGUGACCUAACCUGUCUGUGCUUCAGUUUCUACAUCUCUAAAAUAGUGUCAGUGAACACAAAAUGCUUGCUGUGUGCCAGUCCCUGUCAUAUGUGCUUCAUUUAUUUAUUUAAUCCAUGCAACAUCCCUGAGAUUGGUACAAACCCAUUUAUUUUUAUGUUAAACAAAUGAGAAAACUGAGGCACAGAGAGGUUAAGUAACUUGCCUAAGGUCACACAGCUUGUAAGUGGCAAGGCCAGUACUGAAACCAUGCAGUCCAACCGUGGAGAGAUUCUACUGCCUUGCAGAAGAUACCUCAGCAGAUGCUGUGAGGGUAAUAUGAGUAAAUAAACAAAGUUGCUUGGCGUAUAGUAAGUACUCAAUAAAUGUUCACUGUCUACAUUUCCCAGUGUUCCCUUCUCUGUCAGUUUAUGCUUAGGGAUUUAAACCUGGGGAUUUAAAAUAGGAAGCGGGCAUUUAAAAUUUUUAAUUUUUAUUUAUUUAUUUUUAAAAAUCGGGGAAGGGGAGGUAAUUAGGUUUGUUUGUUUAUUUAAUGGAGGUACUAGGGAUUGAACCCAAGUCCUCAUGCAUGCUAAGCACACACUCUACCACUGAGCUAUACCUUCCCCCCAGAACCAGGCAUAUUUUUAGAGUUUUUUUCGUACCCUGUUUCCGAUUUACAUGUCAGCACUGGAUGGGGCAUGAAAUAGUGAGGACAAUCAUAAUAGCUAGCACUUAUUAAAUACUUACUAAAUGUCACUCUGCUAAUGUAUUUUUUAAAAUAGAUUUGAUUUUCUUAAGGCAGUUUUCGGUUCACGGUAAAAUUAAGCAGAAGUUACAGAGAUCUCUCAUAUAUCCC